UGGGCAACCUGCCCCAGACACAGGGAUAACCCCGGGAAACCGGGGCUAAUACCGGAUACUCCGGUCGAACCGCGUGGCUCGAUCGGGAAAGCUCCGACGGUCUGGGAUGGGCCCGCGGCCUAUCAGCUUGUUGGUGGGGUAACGGCCUACCAAGGCGACGACGGGUAGCUGGUCUGAGAGGACGAUCAGCCACACUGGGACUGAGACACGGCCCAGACUCCUACGGGAG
rnacentral:rRNA from 1 species